rnacentral:lncRNA from 1 species
GAUAUAUUGAGUCUAAGAAUAACAUCCCGAUCAAAGGCUUUAACUUUGAAGAUGGACGAAUUAUGAAAGGAGAAUGGAGAAAUCAGCCCAAUGCUGAUGUCAUACAGAAAUUUUUGCGAUUAUUGGCCGUCUGUCACACAGCCAUAACUGCAGUUUAUUAACCAUACCUGAAGUUGAUGAAGAUACUGAGAAAGUAUCCUACGAGGCUGAAUCACCUGAUGAAGCAGCAUUUGUGAUUGCAGCUAGAGAACUUGGUUUCGAAUUUUAUAAACGGACUCAGACAAGCAUCUCAGUGCGCGAGUUGGAUCUCGUUUCAGGGAAUAAAGUCGAUAGGGUGUAUACCCUUUUGAACGUUUUGGAAUUCAACAGCACAAGAAAAAGAAUG